AAUGAACGUUGGCGGCGUGGAUUAGGCAUGCAAGUCGUGCGGAAAGGCCCCGCAAGGGGUACUCGAGCGGCGAAAGGGAGAGUAACGCGUGGGUAACCUACCCCUAGGUUUGGGAUAACCGCGGGAAACUGCGGGUAAUACCGAAUAACGUCUCCGGACCAAAGGUGGGACUCCGCCUGGGGUGGGGCCCGCGUCCUACUAGCUAGUUGGUGAGGUAAUGGCCCACCAAGGCAAAGAUGGGUACCGGGCGUGAGAGCGUAGUCCGGCUCACUGGGACUGAGACACUGCCCAGACACCUACGGGUGGCUGCAGUCGAGGAUCUUCGGCAAUGGGCGAAAGCCUGACCGAGCGACGCCGCGUGCGGGAUGAAGGCCUUCGGGUUGUAAACCGCCGUCAGAGGGGAUGAAAUGCCAGGAGGUUCUCCUCCUGGUUUGACAUAGCCUCAGAGGAAGUACGGGCUAAGUUCGUGCCAGCCGCCGCAGUAACAC
rnacentral:rRNA from 1 species